CGUAUCACCCAAGACAACUUUACGGAGUUGACGAUUGACGGAGCGAAGCGACGUCAAAGCGUUCAUUAAAGUCGAGUUGGCUUAGGGAUACGUUCGUUGGGUAGGGGAGCGUUCUGUAAGCCUGUGAAGGUGUGUCGUGAGGCAUGCUGGAGGUAUCAGAAGUGCGAAUGCUGACAUAAGUAACGAUAAAGCGGGUGAAAAGCCCGCUCGCCGGAAGACCAAGGGUUCCUGUCCAACGUUAAUCGGGGCAGGGUGAGUCGACCCCUAAGGCGAGGCCGAAAGGCGUAGUCGAUGGGAAACGGGUUAAUAUUCCCGUACUUGGUGUUACUGCGAAGGGGGGACGGAGAAGGCUAUGUUGGCCGGGCGACGGUUGUCCCGGUUUAAGCGUGUAGGUGUGUGUUCCAGGUAAAUCCGGUUCACUUUAACACUGAGGCGUGACGACGAGGCACUACGGUGCUGAAGCAACAAAUGCCCUGCUUCCAGGAAAAGCCUCUAAGCAUCAGGUAACACGAAAUCGUACCCCAAACCGACACAGGUGGUCAGGUA
rnacentral:rRNA from 2 species